rnacentral:rRNA from 1 species
GAUGAACGCUGGCGGCGUGCCUAAUACAUGCAAGUCGAGCGAACGGACGAGAAGCUUGCUUCUCUGAUGUUAGCGGCGGACGGGUGAGUAACACGUGGAUAACCUACCUAUAAGACUGGGAUAACUUCGGGAAACCGGAGCUAAUACCGGAUAAUAUUUUGAACCGCAUGGUUCAAAAGUGAAAGACGGUCUUGCUGUCACUUAUAGAUGGAUCCGCGCUGCAUUAGCUAGUUGGUAAGGUAACGGCUUACCAAGGCAACGAUGCAUAGCCGACCUGAGAGGGUGAUCGGCCACACUGGAAGUGAGACACGGUCCAGACACCUACGGGAGGCAGCAGUAGGGAAUCUUCCGCAAUGGGCGAAAGCCUGGCGGAGCAACGCCGCGUGAGUGAUGAAGGUCUUCGGAUCGUAAAACUCUGUUAUUAGGGAAGAACAUAUGUGUAAGUAACUGUGCACAUCUUGACGGUACCUAAUCAGAAAGCCACGGCUAACUACGUG